rnacentral:rRNA from 1 species
GACGUAGGGGGCCAGCGUUGCUCGGGAAUUACUGGGCGUAAAGGGUUCGUAGGCGGUGUGGCAAGUCGGGAGUGAAAUCUCUGGGCUUAACUCAGAGGCUGCUUCCGAAACUGCCGUGCUAGAGUGCGGGAGAGGCGAGUGGAAUUGCAGGUGUAGCGGUGAAAUGCGUAGAUAUCUGCAGGAACACCCGUGGCGAAGGCGGCUCGCUGGACCGCAACUGACGCUGAGGAACGAAAGCUAGGGGAGCAAACAGG